rnacentral:rRNA from 1 species
CCUACGGGCGGCAGCAGUGGGGGAUAUUGCACAAUGGGGGGAACCCUGAUGCAGCGACGCCGCGUGUGGGAAGACGGUCCUCUGGAUUGUAAACCACUGUCCCCAGGGACGAAAAUGACGGUACCUGGGGUGGAAGCUCCGGCUAACUACGUGCCAGCAGCCGCGGUAAUACGUAGGGCGCGAGCGUUGUCCGUAAUUACUGGGUGAAAAGGGAGCGUAGGCGGGGAUGCAAGUUGGGUGUCAAAACUACCGGCUCAACUGGUAGUCGCACUCAAAACUGCAGCUCUUGAGUGAAGUAGAGGCAGGCGGAAUUCCUAGUGUAGCGGUGAAAUGCGUAGAUAUUAGGAGGAACACCAGUGGCGAAGGCGGUCUGCUGGGCUUUUACUGACGCUGAGGCUCGAAAGUGUGGGGAGCAAACAGGAUUAGAUACCCCGGUAGUC